UACGUAGGGCGCAAGCGUUGUCCGGAAUUAUUGGGCGUAAAGAGCUCGUAGGCGGUCUGUUACGUCCGCUGUGAAAACCCAGGGCUUAACCCUGGGCUUGCAGUGGAUACGGGUAGACUAGAGGCAGGUAGGGGAGAAUGGAAUUCCCGGUGUAGCGGUGAAAUGCGCAGAUAUCGGGAGGAACACCGGUGGCGAAGGCGGUUCUCUGGGAUGAUGCUGACGCUGAGGCGCGAAAGCCAGGGGAGCAAACGGG
rnacentral:rRNA from 1 species